GGACUUUAUGCAGCUAAUGAAGAUUAAUAAGUGGAGUGGAGGUGAACCUUUUAGAGGACUAACAGGUCUUUGAGGGCCAGAAUUUUGCUGAUUGGCAGGUGUUCAAAUACUUAUUUGCAGCAGUAACACAAAUAAAUUAUUAAAAAAUCACACAUUAUGAUUUCAGGAUUUUUUUAGUUCAUGUCUCUCACAGUGGGCAUGCACCAAAGAUGAGAAUUUCAGACCCCUCCAUGAUUUUGAAGUGGGAGAACGUGAAAAGUCGUAAGUUGUUCAAAUACUUAUUUUCCUCACUGUAUUUCUUUAGGUAAAAUUCCUAUGGUGUCAUUACUAACAGCUGGAAUCUGACAUUUA